AUUGAACGCUGGCGGCAGGCUUAACACAUGCAAGUCGAACGAGUGGCGGACGGGUGAGUAAUGUCUGGGAAUCUGGCUUAUGGAGGGGGAUAACUACUGGAAACUGUAGCUAAUACCGCGUACCAUAGGAUGAGCCCAAGUGGGAUUAGGUAGUUGGUGGGGUAACGGCUCACCAAGGCGACGAUCCCUAGCUGGUCUGAGAGGAUGACCAGCCACACUGUAACUGAGACACGGCCCAGACUCCUACGGGAGGCAGCAGUGGGGAAUAUUGCGCAAUGGGGGCAACCUGACGCAGCCAUGCCGCGUGAAUGAAGAAGGCCUUCGGGUUGUAAAGUUCUUUCGGUAGCGAGGCGUUAAUUGCAGAAGAAGCACCGGCUAACUCCGUGCCAGCAGCCGCGGUAAUUC
rnacentral:rRNA from 1 species